AUUGAACGCUGGCGGCAUGCCUUACACAUGCAAGUCGAACGGUAACGGGCCUUCGGGUGCCGACGAGUGGCGAACGGGUGAGUAAUACAUCGGAACGUGCCCGAUCGUGGGGUAUAACGAGGCGAAAGCUUUGCUAAUACCGCAUACGAUCUACGGUUGAAAGCAGGGGACCGCAAGGCCUUGCGCGGACGGAGCGGCCGAUGGCAGAUUAGGUAGUUGGUGGGAUAAAAGCUUACCAAGCCGACGAUCUGUAGCUGGUCUGAGAGGAUGAUCAGCCACACUGGGACUGAGACACGGCCCAGACUCCUACGGGAGGCAGCAGUGGGGAAUGUUGGACAAUGGGCGCAAGCCUGAUCCAGCCAUGCCGCGUGCAGGAUGAAGGCCUUCGGGUUGUAAACUGCUUUUGUACGGAACGAAAAGCCUUCUUUUAAUACAGGAGGGUCAUGACGGUACCGUAAGAAUAAGCACCGGCUAACUACGUG
rnacentral:rRNA from 1 species